rnacentral:rRNA from 1 species
UACGUAGGGGGCAAGCGUUGUCCGGAUUUAUUGGGCGUAAAGGGCGCGUAGGCGGACCAUCAAGUCAGGGGUGAAAUACUUCGGCUUAACCGGAGAAUGGCUUCUGAUACUGGUGGUCUCGAGGGGUGUAGGGGCAUGUGGAACUCAGGGUGGAGCGGUGAAAUGCGUAGAUAUCCUGAGGAACGCCGGUGGCGAAAGCGACGUGCUGGACACCUUCUGACGCUGAGGCGCGAAAGCCAGGGGAGCAAACGGG